rnacentral:rRNA from 1 species
GACGAACGCUGGCGGCGUGCUUAACACAUGCAAGUCGAACGGAAAGGCCCUGCAUUUGUGGGGUGCUCGAGUGGCGAACGGGUGAGUAACACGUGAGUAACCUGCCCUUGACUUUGGGAUAACUUCAGGAAACUGGGGCUAAUACCGGAUAGGAGCUCCUGCUGCAUGGUGGGGGUUGGAAAGUUUCGGCGGUUGGGGAUGGACUCGCGGCUUAUCAGCUUGUUGGUGGGGUAGUGGCUUACCAAGGCUCUGACGGGUAGCCGGCCUGAGAGGGUGACCGGCCACAUUGGGACUGAGAUACGGCCCAGACUCCUACGGGAGGCAGCAGUGGGGAAUAUUGCACAAUGGGCGGAAGCCUGAUGCAGCAACGCCGCGUGCGGGAUGACGGCCUUCGGGUUGUAAACCGCUUUCGCCUGUGACGAAGCGUGAGUGACGGUAAUGGGUAAAGAAGCACCGGCUAACUACGUG